UUCCAGCUCCAAUAGCGUAUAUUAAAGUUGUUGCAGUUAAAAGCUCGUAGUUGAAUUCGGGGUCAGUAGAUUGGUCAUGCCACUGGUAUGUACUGGUCUCACUGAUUCCUCCUUCCUGAUGAGCCGUAAUGCCAUUAAUUUGGUGUUGCGAGGAAUCUGGACUGUUACUUUGAAAAAAUUAGAGUGUUUAAAGCAGGCUAACGCUUGAAUACAUUAGCAUGGAAUAAUGAAAUAGGACGUUCGAUCUUAUUUUGUCGGUUUCUAAGAUUGACGUAAUGAUUAAUAGGGAUUAUUGGGGGCAUUAGUAUUCAAUUGUCAGGGGUGAAAUUCUUGGAUUUAUUGAAGACUAACUACUGCGAAAGCAUUUGCCAAGGAUGUUUUCAUUAAUCAAGAACGAAAGUUAGGGGAUCGAAGACGAUCAGAUACCGUCGUGGUCUUAACCAUAAACUAUGCCGACUAGGGAUCGGAUGAUGUUAAUUUUUAAUGACUCAUUCGGCGCCUUACGGGAAAC
rnacentral:rRNA from 2 species